ACAAAGAUACCUCCCAUCUACCAGUUGACUUCCCAAAUGCCCACUGAAACCAGGAGCCAGGAACUCAAUCUGGGUCUUCCAGAUGGGUGGACAUGACCCAACCACUUGAGUCAACAUUGUCUCCCAGAGUACACAUCUGCAGGAAUCUGGAAUCAGGAGUGGAGCAGAGACAUAAACCCAGAGUUACAGAGAGAGGGCGAGAGACAGAGAUCUUCCAUCUGCUGAUUCACUCACCAAGUGGCCACAACACUGGAACUGGGUCCAUCUGAAACCAGGAGCCAGGAGCUUCGUCUGGGUUUCCCAUGUGGGUGCAGGAGCCCAAGAACUUGGGCCACCUUCUGCUGCCUUCCCAGGCUCAUUAGCAGGGAGCUGGAUCAGAAGUGGAGCAGCCGGGACUCGAAGCAAAGCCAAUAUGGGAUGACAGCACAACAGGUGCUGUGGUUUAACCCACCACACCACAGUGCCAGCUUCUGCUGACUUCUUAAGAGCUACCCAACAGAGCUCUUUUCUGAGGAUGUAAUGGGACCAUCAUACGUGAAAACGCCUUAAGGUGAGAGACCGUUUAU